rnacentral:sRNA from 1 species
UUUUUGUUUGGAGACCCGCUUUCUACAUACAAAUUUCUCGUUUCUAUUUUUUUUGGUAUUUUUAGGGUCUGAAACGUUUUGUGCAAACUGACCCAAACCCAACUGGAUCCGACCCGAACCAGAACCGAAUAUUUAGAAUUAUUCUAUUGGGUAGUAAAUUAUAUACCCAUUAAUCCCAAACCCGAACGGGUUCUACCCGAACUCGAAUGGGUUACUCAUAUGCCCAACCUUAUUCUCUGAUUUAAUUAUCUAAAAACUCCCAAAAAAACAUAUGUUUUGCUGACUACUUUUUAUUAUAAAAAAAUUACAUCCUCUUCUGCCAAAAUCAUUUCAUAAGACAUCCCAAAACCCUUGGACUAAUGAUUUCAUGAAUGAAGAAUCCUAAUUUGAAUAUACCAAGAGAUUUUGAAAGGUUUUAAGUUUUUGAUAGGUGUGUAUGUGAGAAGGUACAGACAUCGUGAUGGUAAUCUGCUUAUUUAUAAUUUUAAUUUGCAGUAUACCGCAGGUAGGCUUAUAUUUUAGUUAAACUAAAAACUUUUAUUGUAAAGAUGAUUAUAAAUAUAUGAUAUUAUUUUAUUUGAUUUUAAAUGUAUAGUAAACUGCGAGUUGUAUAUGUUUUGUUGAUAUUAUUUAUAUUGUUUAGUGUUUAAACUUAUACACUUGUAUUUUGAUUGUUAAUUUUAGAGUUUCACCUGUAGUAUACCAUCUUAUAUUAAUAUCGAUUUAAACCCGUCAAUUCUAGGAUUUUCCAGCUUGUAUUAAAAAUUGAAUCACAUCAUACACAUAAAAAAAUAUAAUAUGUUAUUAAUUAUUGUAAUAUAUAAAAUUA